UACGGAGGGUGCAAGCGUUGUCCGGAAUUAUUGGGCGUAAAGAGCUCGUAGGCGGUCUGUCGCGUCUGCUGUGAAAACUCAGGGCUUAACCCUGAGCUUGCAGUGGGUACGGGCAGACUAGAGUGCGGUAGGGGAGACUGGAAUUCCUGGUGUAGCGGUGAAAUGCGCAGAUAUCAGGAGGAACACCGGUGGCGAAGGCGGGUCUCUGGGCCGUAACUGACGCUGAGGAGCGAAAGCAUGGGGAGCGAACAGG
rnacentral:rRNA from 1 species